UGACCGCUGGCGGCGUGCCUACUACAUGCAAGUCGAGCGAACGGACGAGAAGCUUGCUUCUCUGAUGUUAGCGGCGGACGGGUGAGUAACACGUGGAUAACCUACCUAUAAGACUGGGAUAACUUCGGGAAACCGGAGCUAAUACCGGAUAAUAUUUUGAACCGCAUGGUUCAAAAGUGAAAGACGGUCUUGCUGUCACUUAUAGAUGGAUCCGCGCUGCAUUAGCUAGUUGGUAAGGUAACGGCUUACCAAGGCAACGAUGCAUAGCCGACCUGAGAGGGUGAUCGGCCACACUGGAACUGAGACACGGUCCAGACUCCUACGGGAGGCAGCAGUAGGGAAUCUUCCGCAAUGGGCGAAAGCCUGACGGAGCAACGCCGCGUGAGUGAUGAAGGUCUUCGGAUCGUAAAACUCUGUUAUUAGGGAAGAACAUAUGUGUAAGUAACUGUGCACAUCUUGACGGUACCUAAUCAGAAAGCCACGGCUAACUACGUG
rnacentral:rRNA from 1 species